AUUAAUUCAAUUCUCCGAGUUCACCGUCCUGUGGCAGUUUGCUAUGGCGGUCGAACCGAUAGGGUGUACCUGGAAACGGGUGCGCCUCCCAGUGCGGAAAGGAGACUACGGCAAAAGCGU
rnacentral:ncRNA from 2 species